rnacentral:rRNA from 1 species
GACGAACGCUGGCGGCGUGCUUAACACAUGCAAGUCGAACGGAAAGGCCCUGCUUUUGUGGGGUGCUCGAGUGGCGAACGGGUGAGUAACACGUGAGUAACCUGCCCUUGACUUUGGGAUAACUUCAGGAAACUGGGGCUAAUACCGGAUAGGAGCUCCUGCUGCAUGGUGGGGGUUGGAAAGUUUCGGCGGUUGGGGAUGGACUCGCGGCUUAUCAGCUUGUUGGUGGGGUAGUGGCUUACCAAGGCUUUGACAGGUAGCCGGCCUGAGAGGGUGACCGGCCACAUUGGGACUGAGAUACGGCCCAGACUCCUACGGGAGGCAGCAGUGGGGAAUAUUGCACAAUGGGCGGAAGCCUGAUGCAGCAACGCCGCGUGCGGGAUGACGGCCUUCGGGUUGUAAACCGCUUUCGCCUGUGACGAAGCGUGAAUGACGGUAAUGGGUAAAGAAGCACCGGCUAACUACGUG